UACGAAGGGGGCUAGCGUUGCUCGGAAUCAUUGGGCGUAAAGGGUGCGUAGGCGGCGCGGUAAGUCGGGUGUGAAAUCUCGGAGCUUAACUCCGAAACUGCAUUCGAUACUGCCGUGCUUGAGGACUGGAGAGGAGACUGGAAUUUACGGUGUAGCGGUGAAAUGCGUGGAUAUCGUAAGGAAGACCAGUGGCGAAGGCGGGUCUCUGGACAGUUCCUGACGCUGAGGCACGAAGGCCAGGGGAGCAAACGGG
rnacentral:rRNA from 1 species